rnacentral:rRNA from 1 species
UGCGUAGGUGGCUUGAAAAGUUUGAUGUGAAAGCUCAGGGCUUAACCCUGAAAUGGCAUUGAAUACUGUCGGGCUGGAGGUUUGGGAGGGGGGACUGGAAUUCUUGGUGUAGCAGUGAAAUGCGUAGAUAUCAAGAGGAACACCAGUGGCGAAGGCGAGUCCCUGGACAACACCUGACACUGAGACACGAAAGCUAGGGAGCAAACA